AGCAGCCGCCGCGGUAAUACGAAGGGUGCAAGCGUUACUCGGAAUUACUGGGCGUAAAGCGUGCGUAGGUGGUGGUUUAAGUCCGUUGUGAAAGCCCUGGGCUCAACCUGGGAAUUGCAGUGGAUACUGGGUCACUAGAGUGUGGUAGAGGAUAGUGGAAUUUCCGGUGUAGCAGUGAAAUGCGUAGAGAUCGGAAGGAACAUCUGUGGCGAAGGCGACUAUCUGGGCCAACACUGACACUGAGGCACGGAAGCGUGGGGAGCAAACAGGAUUAGAUACCCGUGUAGUCCCUGUCUCUUAUAC
rnacentral:rRNA from 1 species